rnacentral:rRNA from 1 species
AUGGCGAAGACGCUGCCGGCGCCGGCGUUGGCGAAUAUGGUGAUGAGCACGUGCUCCUUCACGUUGAACGGCCCCGGGUUGAGCGUGAACUCCCACCGCCGGCCCCGGAAGAAGGCGCGGUCGGGGAGCGCCGCGGCCAUGAGCCGGCCCAGCGGCACCACGGCGACCUGCGCCGAGAUGGCCGUGAUCUCCAGCGGCUCCUUGCGGUACCCGAAGAAGGUGUUGAGGAAGGAGAGCGCCACGCAGGAGGCCGCGCCGAGCGCCCACAUCCGGAACGUCAGCACCGGCGUCGUCGGGUCGUCUCCCACCGGCACCGUCAGCGCCACCUGCUCCACCGGCGAGUUCUCCGCCUCCUCCCAUUCCUCUCCUUCCUCCGGCGAACCUGAUGGCUGCACUGCACGGGAAGUUAAGCAACGUCAGCCAUCGUCUUCCGAGUCCACGCCCAGUAAACGACUGAGCCGACCAUUUUUGUGGCUCGGCCGGCUUACGAAGUGGGACGGUGAUUUGGUCGGCAUGCUGGUCGUAGUGGUCUUCCCCUUCUUCGUCUUCCUGGUCUGCUUGUUCAUGGAGUUCUUCUUGGUGGGAGGAGGAGGCCAUGGUUACGAGUGUUGGGACUUGUAA